rnacentral:rRNA from 1 species
UACAGAGGGGGCGAGCGUUAUUCGGAAUUAUUGGGCGUAAAGGGCGCGUAGGCGGCUUUUCAAGUGACGGGUGAAAUCCCUCGGCUUAACCGAGGAACUGCCUGUCAGACUGGAAGGCUUGAGACCGGGAGAGGUGAGUGGAAUUCCCAGUGUAGCGGUGAAAUGCGUAGAUAUUGGGAGGAACACCAGUGCGAAGGCGGCUCACUGGACCGGAACUGACGCUGAGGCGCGAAAGCGUGGGGAGCAAACAGG